rnacentral:rRNA from 1 species
GUGAGGAAUUUUGGUCAAUGGGGGAAACCCUGAACCAGCGACGCCGCGUGCGGGAUGAAGGGGCUUUGCCCUGUAAACCGCUGUCGGGAGGGAGGAAAAGCCUGGUUUCCAGGCUGGGACUGUACCUCCAAAGGAAGGAUCGGCUAACUACGUGCCAGCAGCCGCGGUAAUACGUAGGAUCCAAGCGUUGUCCGGAUUUACUGGGUGUAAAGGGUGCGCAGGCGGACUUGUGCGUCAGGGGUUAAAUCCAUCGGCUCAACCGAUGAACUGCCCUUGAUACGGCAAGCCUGGAGUGCGAGAGAGGAUGGUAGAAUUCCUGGUGUAGCGGUGAAAUGCGUAGAUAUCAGGAGGAAUACCAGUGGCGAAGGCGGCCAUCUGGCUCGCAACUGACGCUCAGGCACGAAAGCGUGGGGAGCAAACAGGAUUAGAUACCCGUGUAGUCC